AAUUCAGGGGGAUGUAAAAAAUCUGUCAUCUCAUCAAUUGCCUGGGUUUAUUCAGUUGAUCUGACUGGCUAGAUAGAAGUAAGCUCCCUCACCAUGCCAUGUGGAUUCCUUCCUGGAGAGAUACAUUCAGCAGAAGAGAAGACUGUUGUUUGGUUAAGACUACAUGAGUACCUAAGUACCCCUGCUAGAACAUCCAAACACGCUCACCAACUCAGGAGCCAGUAGGGAGUACCCUUGAACAUACAUGUAAUUUUAGAAAUAACUGAAAUAAUU
rnacentral:snRNA from 1 species